ACUAUUCCUUCUGUUUGAACUCAGAAACCUUUCCAGGAGCACAAUCAUCUCGGCCAUUUUCAACAUUCAAGCUGUGAUUUGACACUAAAUUGCGACCUGAAUGUGAGGAAUAAAAGUCCUUUCAGAAGUGGCCUUCACAAGCUCUAUUUUCUCUCUCCGGUUUCUUGUUUUCACAGUGAUCUACCGAACCUGUUCACCCUGGACGUUUUUCCACUUGUAAAUUAUUUUUACGAGCAGUGGAGCAGCUGAUAUUUAAUUGUUCUGAGAUUUUUAUAAAGUCCUUCCCCUUUAUCUGCAUCUAUGUCCUUCUUUCUGAAGGCUUGAGAGAGCUCUUUAGAAUCACACCAUGGUGAUAUACCCACUUUGUACCCACUGAGUAAACGUUCCGGUGGGCUUUCCACAUAAAUGUGGAACGCAUGGGGUCCAGGUUUUUCUCAUUAGCUAACUAACUUAAAGAUUAAUUUGCAGAAAAAGGUAGAGUGAGGCAGAAAAACCUAAAGGUAGGCGGAGCGAGGUUAAGCAAGGCAUAGGGUAGAAUGAGGUAAAGUAAGAGCGAAGUAGAAAGAGGAAAAAUGAGAGCGAAGUAGAAUGAGGAAAAGUGAGAGUGAAGUAGAACGAGGUAGUAUGAGGUGAAGUGAGAGUGAAGUCGAAUGAGGUUAAGUGAGAGUAAAGUAGAAUGAGGUAGAAUUAGGUAAAGUGAGCGAGAAGAAGAAUGAGGUAAAGUGAGAGUAAAGUAGAACGAGGUAGAAUGAGGAAAAGUGAGAGUGAAGUCGAAUGAGGUAAAGUGAGCGUAAAGUAGAAUGAGGAAAAGUGAGAGCGAAGUAAAAUGAGGUAAAGUGAGAGUAAAGUAGAACGAGGUAGAAUGAGGAAAAGUGAGAGUGAAGUCGAAUGAGGUAAAGUGAGAGUAAAGUAGAAUGAGGUAAAGUGAGAGUAAAGUAGAAUGAGGAAAAGUGAGAGUGAAGUAAAAUGAGGUAAAGUGAGAGUAAAGUAGAACGAGGUAGAAUGAGGAAAAGUGAGAGUGAAGUCGAAUGAGGUAAAGUGAGAGUAAAGUAGAAUGAGGUAGAAUGAGGAAAAGUAAGAGCGAAGUCGAAUGAGGUAAAGUGAGAGUAAAGUAGAAUGAGGUAGAAUGAGGAAAAGUAAGAGCGAAGUCGAAUGAGGUAAAGUGAGAGUAAAGUAGAAUGAGGUAGAAUGAGCAAAAGUGAGAGUGAAGUCGAAUGAGGUAAAGUUAGAGCGAAGUAGAACGAGGAACAGGUAAGAGCAAAGUAGAACAAAAAAAUGGGGCAGGAAGAGGUAGAGCAAGGAAGAAAUAAGCAGAAUGAGGUUGAAUGAGACAGGAAAGUAGUAAGGCAGAGCUACAUAGAAUGAGGCAAAACAAGGUGGAGUGAUACAGAACGAGGCAGGAAGAGGUAGAGUGAGGUAGAAGCAGACAGAAUGAGGUAGAGCAAGAGAAAGCAUAGUAGAUUGAGGCAGAAUGAGACAGCAAAGUAGUGAGACAGAUUGAAAUAGAACGAGGCAAAACAAGGUGGAGUGAUGUAGAAAGAGGUAGAGUGAGGCAAAACGAGGCAGAAAGGGGUAGAGCGAGGAAGAACCAGGCAGAAUGAGGUAGAGCAAGGGAAAACAAAGUAGAUUGAGGCAGAAUGAGACAGGAAAGUAGUGAGACAGAUUGAAAUAGAAUGAUGCAAAACAAUGUGGAGUGAUUCAGAACGAGGUAGGAAGAGAUAGUGUGAGGAAGAACAAGGCAGAAAGAGGUAGAGUGAGGCAGAAUGAGGCAGGAAGAGGUAGAGUGGGAAAGAACCAGGCAGAAUGAGGUAGAGCAAGGAAAAACAAAGUAGAUUGAGGCAGAAUGAGACUUUAAAGCAGUGAGACAGAUUGAAAUAGAACAAGGCAAAACCAGGUGGAGUGAGAAAGAAUGAGGCAGGAAGAGGUGGAGUGAGAAAGAACCAGGCAGAAUGAGGUAGAGCAAGCGAAAGCGAAGUAGAUUAAGACAGAAUGAGACAGGAAAGAAGUGAGACAGAAUGAGAAAGAACCAGGCAGAAUGAGGUGAAGUGAGGCAGAACAAAGCUGAAAGAGGUAGAGUGAGGACGAAACGAGCAGAAUUAGGUAUAGAGCAAGUAAAAGCAAAGUAGAUUGAGGCAGAAUGAGACAGCAAAUUUGUGCGAGAGGGCGAGAUAUAAAGAGGUAAAACAAGGUAGAGUGAGGUAGCGCGAGGCAGAGCACAAUAGAACAAGAUAAAACAAGGUACAUUGAGGCAGAACGAUAGAGGCACAUUAGGUCAGACUGAUUUAAGUGAGCCAGAAUGAGGUAGGUAGAAAGCAGUAGAACCAGACAGAAUGUGGUGGAGUGUGGAAAAGUGAGACGGGUAGAAUGAGGCAGAGCAAGGUAGAAGGAGGUAAAGUGAGGCAGAGCGAGGUAGAGAUCUAUAGUAAAUGCACACACCAAACCAAUUUUUGACACACGCCUCCCAACGUUCUGUGCUGAAAUUAAGGCUCAACAUAGGGGUGCAAUUUUCAUAACGCUCUGUCAAGUUUUAAUAAAGGUUCUCUUUAUUGCACCUUUUAAACGCUGGUGUGGGCGCUGCUGAGACUGCCUCCGAGAGAGGAUGGCACCUCUUCCUCUCUCUCGCUCUCUCUCUCUCUCACUCUUUCUCUCACUCUCUCUCUCUUUCUCUUUAUUUUCUUUCUCUCAGAGAGCCGAGCAGCUUGUGUGUGGGAGGCUUGCUUUAGCAGUGGAAUUGCUGCCACCACUGUGAUAAAUUGAAAUUUUCUCCUGCCGGCUGGUAGCAGCUGUGGCCUUGAGCAGGCCUGCGUAGAGGGAGCGCUGCCAGGAUGGCGCUCAGCCUCGCAGGCAGGCGGAACACAGCAGUGGGAGCAGAGCGCUGCUGGAACCUGCCACACCCUGUCAGCUUUUGAGCUGACAUUAGCCAAGGGGUGUAUUAUGGGCACAGGGAUAGGAUACUUUGUCUGAAAGUGCUGCUAACAAAUGCUGAUAAAAGCGGCACGGACGGCACAGAGUGAAUGAAGGCUUGUGGCGAGCAGCUUUGUGAGUCUCGCAAGGCAGGUUUCAGACUGUCGCUGUAGAGUCUGGUGGGAUUUGGAGCCCAUCGUGGCUCAGAACCACCUGCUUUAAAUUCUGCUAGAAUCCUAAAAUUGUCCCUAGUCAUACACUCAUCUAAAAAAAAAAAAAAACAGCCAGAAGGAAUCAACUGACAGGAAUAAAACUGGUGGGGAUGUUAAGUGAGACAGAAGAAGACACUGUAGUUGAAUGAGGUGGAGUGAGGCAGAAUGAGACAGCAUAGUUUAUUGAGGUGGAGUGAGGCAGAAUGAGACUAGUUGAAUGAUGUGGAGUGAGGCAGAAUGAGAUAGCAUAGUUUAUUGAGGUAGAGUGAGGCAGAACAAGACACCGUAGUUGAAUGAGGUCUAGUAAGGCAGAAGAAGACAGUGUAGUGGAAUGAGGUAGAGUGAGGCAGAAUGAGAAAGUGUAGUGGAAUAGGGUGCAGUAAGGCAAAAGAAGACAGUGUAGUGGAAUAGGGUGGAGUAAGGCAAAAGAAAACAGUGUAGAGGAAUGAGGUGGAGUAAGGCAAAGGAAGACAGUGUAGUGGAAUGAGGUAGAGUGAGGCAGAAUGAAAAAGUGUAGUGGAAUAGGGUGGAGUAAGGCAAAAGAAGACAGUGUAGUGGAAUGGGGUGGAGUAAGGCAAAAGAAGACAGUGUAGUGAAAUGAGGUGGAGUAAGGAAAAAGAAGACAGUGUAGUGGAAUUGGGUGGAGUAAGGCAAAAGAAGACAGUGUAGUGGAAUGGGGUGGAGUAAGGCAAAAGAAGACAGUGUAGUAGAUUGAGGUGGAGUAAGGCAAAAGAAGACAGUGAAGUGGAAUGAUGUGGAGUAAGGCAAAAGAAGACAGUGUAGUGG